GACGAACGCUGGCGGCGUGCUUAACACAUGCAAGUCGAGCGGUAAGGCCUUUCGGUGUCCACGAGCGGCGAACGCGUGAGUAACACUUGGGUGAUCUGCCCUGCACUUCGGGAUAAGCCUGGGAAACUGGGUCUAAUACCGGAUAUGACCUCCUAUCCCAUGGUGGUUGGUGGAAAGAUUUAUCUGUGCAGGAUGGGCCCGCGGCCUAUCAGCUUGUUGGUGGGGUAAUGGCCUACCAAGGCGACGACGGGUAGCCGACCUGAGAGGGUGACCGGCCACACUGGGACUGAGACACGGCCCAGACUCCUACGGGAGGCAGCAGUGGGGAAUAUUGCACAAUGGGCGAAAGCCUGAUGCAGCGACGCCGCGUGAGGGAUGACGGCCUUCGGGUUGUAAACCUCUUUCAGCAGGGACGAAGCGAAAGUGACGGUACCUGCAGAAGAAGCACCGGCUAACUACGUG
rnacentral:rRNA from 1 species